AGAGUUUGAUUAUGGCUCAGGAUGAACGCUGGCGGCGUGCCUAACACAUGCAAGUCGAACGGAUCCAUAUUGAAACCUAGUGAUGUAUGGAUUAGUGGCGGACGGGUGAGUAACGCGUGGAUAACCUGCCGUAUACAGGGGGAUAACACUUAGAAAUAGGUGCUAAUACCGCAUAAGCGCACGGUUCCGCAUGGAACAGUGUGAAAAACUCCGGUGGUAUACGAUGGAUCCGCGUCUGAUUAGCCAGUUGGCGGGGUAACGGCCCACCAAAGCGACGAUCAGUAGCCGGCCUGAGAGGGUGAACGGCCACAUUGGGACUGAGACACGGCCCAAACUCCUACGGGAGGCAGCAGUGGGGAAUAUUGCACAAUGGGGGAAACCCUGAUGCAGCGACGCCGCGUGAGUGAAGAAGUAUUUCGGUACGUAAAGCUCUAUCAGCAGGGAAGAAAAUGACGGUACCUGACUAAGAAGCCCCGGCUAACUACGUGCCAGCAGCCGCGGUAAUACGUAGGGGGCAAGCGUUAUCCGGAUUUACUGGGUGUAAAGGGAGCGUAAACGGCAGCGCAAGUCUGGAGUGAAAUGCCGGGGCCCAACCCCGGAACUGCUUUGGAAACUGUGCAGCUCGAGUG
rnacentral:rRNA from 1 species